GUGCAGAGACAUUCGGAGUGAACUGC
rnacentral:sRNA from 1 species